rnacentral:rRNA from 1 species
GGGGAACGAUAACGGCGUCGAGCGGCGGACGGGUGAGUAAUGCCUAGGAAAUUGCCCUGAUGUGGGGGAUAACCAUUGGAAACGAUGGCUAAUACCGCAUGAUGCCUACGGGCCAAAGAGGGGGACCUUCGGGCCUCUCGCGUCAGGAUAUGCCUAGGUGGGAUUAGCUAGUUGGUGAGGUAAGGGCUCACCAAGGCGACGAUCCCUAGCUGGUCUGAGAGGAUGAUCAGCCACACUGGAACUGAGACACGGUCCAGACUCCUACGGGAGGCAGCAGUGGGGAAUAUUGCACAAUGGGCGCAAGCCUGAUGCAGCCAUGCCGCGUGUAUGAAGAAGGCCUUCGGGUUGUAAAGUACUUUCAGUCGUGAGGAAGGCGGCGUCGUUAAUAGCGGCGUUGUUUGACGUUAGCGACAGAAGAAGCACCGGCUAACUCCGUGCCAGCAGCCGCGGUAAUACGGAGGGUGCGAGCGUUAAUCGGAAUUACUGGGCGUAAAGCGCAUGCAGGUGGUUUGUUAAGUCAGAUGUGAAAGCCCGGGGCUCAACCUCGGAAUAGCAUUUGAAACUGGCAGACUAGAGUACUGUAGAGGGGGGUAGAAUUU